AAAACUCAUAAUUUAACGAAAAUAAUGUUGUACUUUUAUGAAAUUAAAGUCAUAAUAUUUUGAAAAUAAAUUCACAAUAGUGCGAUAAAAAGUCAUAAUUUAGAAAGUGUAAGCCUUAAACCUUGUUGAUGACAGUUUCUGUUUACAG